rnacentral:sRNA from 1 species
AACAAGAUAUGCCGCAGACAGCAGGUGCGCUUGCGCUCAAUAUCCUGCCGAGGUGUUAAGGAAUAAAGAUCAUAAAGCUGUUCUUACGUUGUCCUUAUGCCGCGCGGCAUAAGGGCUUUUUAAUUCUU